rnacentral:lncRNA from 1 species
AAGGCCUGAAAACGGAGACGGCCAGGACGUGGGGCUGCGGGAGGGGCCAGCUCCCCGGGGGCGCCUCCCUGCGGAGCAGGAGCGCCCCGGACGCCACCUGAUCUCACUGGGGUCCCGAAAGGGGACCUGCGCCCCCGCCCCCCUUCAAGCGACCCUUUUGAAGACGGGCGGGAAGAAUCUGGCUGCAGAAGCCUGGCUCCGAUGGAGAGCCAGCUGCUUUUUGCAGACAGGCUGGGGCCGUGGGCAGUGAGGAGGGCCGGCAGUUCCAGGGGGAAGACCUUUCCCUCCUGGGAGGUUGCACCUGGCUGCAGGCGCUGCCUGGAGUGGAAGAAAGACGACCGGACAGAGCACUGAACACCAGCCUUUGAAAACAAUGCAAGCUUGCCCCUCCCCUGAUGCUUAUCUGCAGCCCUGUUUUUUCACUCCCCAAACUAUAAAACUCUAAAACCGCCUCCCAAUCUCUGCUAAGGGGGUGGCACCCUCUUCGAGGCACUAGACUGCUGCGACCUUCCUUUGCCUGGCAAAGCAAUAAAGCUAUUUUUAUCCCUUCGCCCAAAUCCCUGUCUCCACGUUCCCAUUCAGCACCGGUGAGCAGAGAUCAAGUCCCAUUCAGCACCGGUGAGCAGAGAUCAAGUUGGGGUGACAAGGUCAGGGCAAGUUGCAGUUGGGGUGACAAGGUCAGGGCAAGUUGCUGUGCCUGAAGCACCGUGGAGCCAAACAAAUCCACACAAUGGAGUUUGGAGCAGCGAAAGGUUUAUUAUGGGCCAUGCAAGGAGAUUGCGGCGAGGGGGGGAGGGGGUGCUUGCUCCUGCCCCAAAAGCCCAAACUCCCGAACAAAAUUGUAAAGCAUUUUUUAAAAAUUUUACUUUAUUUUAUAAUUACUUUUUUUGGGGCUUGGUCUUA